rnacentral:rRNA from 1 species
UACAGAGGGGGCAAGCGUUAUUCGGAAUUAUUGGGCGUAAAGGGCGCGUAGGCGGCCUGGCAAGUGGAAGGUGAAAUCCCUCGGCUUAACCGAGGAACUGCCCUCCAAACUGCUUGGCUUGAGUCCGGGAGAGGUGAGUGGAAUUCCCAGUGUAGCGGUGAAAUGCGUAGAUAUUGGGGGGAACACCAGUGGCGAAGGCGGCUCACUGGACCGGAACUGACGCUGAGGCGCGAAAGCGUGGGGAGCAAACGGG